rnacentral:lncRNA from 1 species
GAAACAGAAAAAAAUGCGAGCACGAAAAAUUUCAAAAAAAAAUCAUGCUGAGACUUUUCAAUAGGGAAAAUUAUAAGUUGUGCUUUAAGGGUGGCCCCAAAUUUGGAAAAUACAGUAAAACCUUUUUAUAUAAGUAAUGAAGUAAUGGUGUGAGAACAAGUUUCUAAACCUAUUUAGUGUCCUGAAAAAAUGUUAACCUCACAACACCCCC